CUCCGUCUCUCUUCGGCUGUGACUUUUUCUGGCUCUGUUCCGGUACAUCAGAACGGAACCAACCAUUUGGGGUCUGAAUCACUCUGUUAAACCGACUAGAGCCCUCUAGCCCAGACAGGAGACCCAGUAGAAACAAAAGGUUAUGGACCCCCCAAUUGGCAGGAAAAGCAGAAGAGAAGGCUGAUGGAUUAAAUAAAACAUCCCAGGGUGUCACAGCUCCCUGAAGCCAUCCCUCUUCAUUUCCUCGGCCACAUCCUGUCACAUCUUUGACACCUCGUGCCUGGACCACUGUCCUAUACACUGUCUUGUCCCCUUCUCCCAUGUCCCUGGGG